UACGUAGGGGGCGAGCGUUGUCCGAAGUUACUGGGCGUAAAGCGCGCGUAGGCGGGGGGUUAAGUGAGAGGUGAAAGGCUGGGGCUCAACCUCAUGCAGUGCCUCUCAUACUGGCCUUCUUGAGGGCGGUAGGGAGAAGUGGAAUGGCUGGUGUAGCGGUGAAAUGCGUAGAUAUCAGUCGGAACACCGGUGGCGAAGGCGGCUUCUUGGGCCGUUCCUGACGCUGAGGCGCGAAAGCUGGUGGAGCGAACGGG
rnacentral:rRNA from 1 species